AAAAUAUGUUAAUAUAUAAUUUGUUGCUUUUGUAGGUAGUGUGUGUGGUCACCCAUACUCCAUCAAGCUCAUAUAUAGGGUUUGAGACCCUUAAUUCAAGGAGACUAAUCAAGAGAUGGUUAACAUUGACUCUAGACAUCAAAUAUGGGUCCCCAUGAUCUUCAUUUAUCAUUUUGAUCAAGACCUCAUCAAGAGUUUGAAGCUUGUUUGCCUUGGAAGCCCUAAUUCAUCUAAGUAUCUUGUGUGAC
rnacentral:lncRNA from 1 species